GGUUCGUGUACGUGUACGUGUGGAUUGCUGGAAGGUUGCUGGUAGCUGGUUGCUGGUAGCUGCAGCUGCGGGAAGGGCUGUAUUGCUGGAAGGUAGCUGGUAGCUGGUUGCUGGUAGCUGCAGCUGCGGGAAGGGCUGUAUUGCUGGAAGGUUGCUGGUAGCUGGUUGCUGGUAGCUGCAGCUGCGGGAAGGGCUGUAUUGCUGGAAGGUUGCUGGUAGCUGGUUGCUGGUAGCUGCAGCUGCUGGUUUUUCAUCGUUCCGGUACGCCACGAAGACCUCAAAGUUUUUUGUUAUAUAAAAAUAAACAAAAAGAAAGAAAGAAAA